GAAAGACACAGGGAUGGCUCUAGUAACGGCGAGUGAAGCAGCCAAAGCUCAAAUUUGAAAGCUCCUAACAAGGCGCAUUGUAAUUUGAAGAUGGUAUUCCGAGUUAGUCCUUUACCUCAGUUCCUUGGAACAGGACGCCAUAGAGGGUGAGAGCCCCGUGUGGUAUUGGUAGCUUUCUCAUGUGGUUUACCUUCGAAGAGUCGAGUUGUUUGGGAAUGCAGCUCUAAGUGGGUGGUAAAUUCCAUCUAAAGCUAAAUAUUGGCGAGAGACCGAUAGCGAACAAGUACUGUGAAGGAAAGAUGAAAAGAACUUUGAAAAGAGAGUGAAAAAGUACGUGAAAUUGUUGAAAGGGAAGGGAAUUGGACUAGACUUGGAUUUCUGUUAUCAGCAGUCUUUCGGGGCUGUGCACUAGCAGUUUUCUAGGCCAGGAUCUGUUUGGAGGCCAGGAUAAAACCCAAAGAAUGUGGCUCUUCGGAGUGUUAUAGCUUUGGUUGAAUACUGGCAUUCUGGACAGAGGACCGCGCUCGUGCUAGUUCCUGCG
rnacentral:rRNA from 1 species